GCGAGAGUGGUGAAAUGGCAGACACGCCAGACUUAGGAUCUGGUGCCCUAGGCGUGCGGGUUCAAGUCCCGCCUCUCGCA
rnacentral:tRNA from 1 species